rnacentral:lncRNA from 1 species
GAUUUACGGUGAGCUGAGGGGCUGAAGGCCGUGGUUCUGACCUGGCGCUAUUCUUUCCCUUUCUCUCGCUGAAGGGACUGAGGGAUUUUCGCCGCCGGGUCCGUUCCUGGCCCCUUCCGGGACUGACAUUAAGGGAAAGGCGCACUGGCUACGCGUCUGUGGGUCCUGACCCUCCCUCCGCGGAAAUCUACCAGAGAAGCCUUGAAUAACAAAAAUAUCAAGCCGUUGUUGACUGCCUUCAGUCAGUUACCUGGCAGUGAAAAUGAAAAAAAAUGUACCCUUGACCAAGCUUUCAGAGGUGUUCUGGAAGAAGAAAUUGUAAGUAUUUACCCCCUUUGUUAAAAUAUGCUGGCCGGUUAAUAAGUCAUGUUGUUAAAAAUUGCUUUAUUAUUAGAAUGGAUAUUUAAACAUGACAUGUUUUCUGGGCAUGAGCAUUCUGCCUUUGAGACAAUGCAUUAGGCUCUUGAUGGCUCAGGUACAGUUUAAGCUUUGAUGAUAAGAAAUGGUUUGACAUUCAGUCUUAAAGAGCAAGAAGUAAAGACUGACUCAGGGAGAUGCCUCAGCAAGUCAAGGCACUUGCUACAGAGCGCCAUGUCCUGACUUUGGUCUCUAGAUCCUAGAUGUUGGAAGGAGAGGACUCCUGCAAGUUGUCCUCUGACCUCCAUAAAGAACACACACAGGUACACAAAAUACAGUUUUUAAAAUGUAGUUUUAAAAGUAGAGUCUCACUUUGUUAUAUAAAUGAUGACACACUGUGUAAAAGUGGUCUAGUCCAAAGAUGUUAAGCAUAGAGCGAGGAUUCCAUGUCCUCAUUUUCUUGUGGGAUUUUUCCUCAGCUAUAAGCAUACAUAAAUAACUAAGGCUUGUUUAACCCUGCUGAAGAAAUUUAACCAUGAAGAAUCUAAAUAUUACCUUUAGCAGGGAUCCUGAAUGAAAGAUUUUUUAACAUUUAUAUUUGAUUAAGCAGAAAUUGGGUCCCAUGGUGGUAGAUUCUCUUCUGAUGACCAUAAUAUAGUAUCCCCCCUCUUUUUGUCAGAUAAUUCUGGGUCAGACCAAUUGAUCUUUUUUUCAGCUUUAAUCGUUUCUCUGUUAUGAGGUGCUAAGAAAGUCACUUUUCCUAUUGUUACCUUCCUGCAGAAGGCCCUCUGCUAAGUCUGCAGUGUUACUAUGGAUUCAGUCCAGGCCCUGCUUUUGUCCUGCUGUUGCCUUUCACCCACAACCUUAGAACUUCUGUGCCCAAUAAUCUUAUAACCGUAGUCAUGCAAAAGUUAACAUUUCACAAGUUGGGUUUUGAUUGACUCACUCUUUACUGCUUGAUAUACUUAGUGUGUAUAUUACUGUUCAUGGUUUUUCAUCUUAUAAAAUAACUUUGUAUAAGAUAUUUUCAUUCCUGUUUGUAUGACUGCUUAAUUUCAUAGAACUUGUCUUUAUUGUUAACAAAUUAGUGCAAAUUCUUGCUUCUAAAUAAACUUGUUUCUCUGUUGGUAGAUAAAUCAUUCCGCAUGUGAGAACGUUUUAGCUAUUAUUUCUCUUGCUAUUGGGGGAGUGACCGAAAGUAAGUAUCUUUCUGUUUCUCCUAAAAGUUGUUUUAGAUCUGACCUGUUUUAUUUAAGACUCUCGACAUACCUCUUCCUCUGUCUGGUUUUGUUCAUCUUUUAUGUGUGUUGCUAGAGACCAAAUAUAGGGCCUCAUGCAUGCUGUGCUACCACUGACCCACACUCACAGCCCCUGCUCAUUGUUUGACUCCUUCCUUUGCCAAGAAGAUGUUCCUACUUACUGCUCAUCACGAUUAUGUCAUGUACAUUACAGUUUGUUUGUUUUCAAGUGUUUUAAUCAUAUAUCAGUACUUAGUGAGCAUUUAUUGUAUGCAUGUACUAAGUUAGGAUUGGGAGGUUCAGUGUAAGAGUCUACUGGGUAAUGCAGGGCAGACGUGUGUGAGUGUGUGAGUGCUGUAAGCGCUAUGGUUAGAGUUUGUUGAUGAAUUUUAAAAAGUAAGAUGAGCUUGGAUCUGUGACAAAUACCUAUUAUCCCACACUUGUAAGGCUGAAUCAGGACAGUCAGAAAUUGGAGUCAAAAUAAAACAAAAUGAAAAAAAGAAGAUCUGGUCUACAAAUAGAAAUAAAGUUUGCCAGAAAUAGAGAAGAAGAUAGAUAUAGGAAGGCCACGUUCAGCAUAGCUAGAAAAUUAUAUGAGAUGAGAAUGGCAAAGGAACUAAGAUUUGUGGGUUAGUUUAAAGGCCAGUGUAUCUCGUACUGAGAAGACUAAGUACAUUGGGGUAGACUGCUAGCAGAAAAACUAGGCAG